rnacentral:rRNA from 1 species
CGUGUCGCGCAUAUCUGCAUAUCAAUAAGCGGAGGAAAAGAAACUAACAAGGAUUCCCUUAGUAACGGCGAGUGAAGCGGGAAGAGCUCAAAUUUGAAAUCUUCAAGGUUCUACCUUGACGAAUUGUAGUUUAAAGAAGUGUUUUCUGUUAGAUGAGUAGCAAAAGUUCCUUGGAAUGGGACAUCAUAGAGGGUGAGAAUCCCGUAUUUGGUUAUUCAUUCUAGCUUUGUGAUACACUUUCAAAGAGUCGGAUUGUUUGGGAAUGCAGUCCAAAAUGGGUGGUAAAUUUCAUCUAAAGCUAAAUAUUGGCGAGAGACCGAUAGCGAACAAGUACCGUGAGGGAAAGAUGAAAAGAACUUUGAAAAGAGAGUUAAACAGUACGUGAAAUUGUCAAAAGGGAAGCGUUUGACACCAGUGUUGUUUUUCCGAAAAUCAAUUACGAAUGGCUUGAUUUUGUGUUGUAUUGACCUUAUCAGCUUUCUGCACUUUUUUCGAGUCUUUCUUAACGCACUUUUCGGUUAACAAGUCAACAUCAAUUUCUUUUGUUGUAAAAGAGUAUUCGGAAGGUGGCUUUCUUUUCGGAGGAAGUGUUUAUAGCCCUAUACUUCUACAAUCGGAGAGAUUGAGGUCCGCAGCGUAGAUCCUUCGGGGUUAGAUACAUUUGUGCUAAGUUGUAGCUUUUCAUAGACAACUUGUUGACUAUGUUUAGUCAUGCGGCUUACUCGCUUAUGCUAUUUUACCUACGCUUAGGAUGUUGACGAUCAGCUGAGCGCG